GAGUUUGAUCCUGGCUCAGAUUGAACGCUGGCGGCAUGCCUUACACAUGCAAGUCGAGCGGCAGCGCGGGGGCAACCCUGGCGGCGAGCGGCGAACGGGUGAGUAAUACAUCGGAACGUGUCCAGUAGCGGGGGAUAACCUCUCGAAAGAGAGGCUAAUACCGCAUACGACCUACGGGUGAAAGCGGGGGACCGCAAGGCCUCGCACUAUUGGAGCGGCCGAUGUCGGAUUAGCUAGUUGGCGGGGUAAAAGCCCACCAAGGCGACGAUCCGUAGCUGGUCUGAGAGGACGAUCAGCCACACUGGAACUGAGACACGGUCCAGACUCCUACGGGAGGCAGCAGUGGGGAAUUUUGGACAAUGGGGGCAACCCUGAUCCAGCCAUGCCGCGUGAGUGAAGAAGGCCUCGGUUGUAAG
rnacentral:rRNA from 1 species